GUUAAGCGACUAAGCGUACACGGUGGAUGCCCUGGCAGUCAGAGGCGAUGAAGGGCGUGCUAAUCUGCGAUAAGCGCCGGUAAGGUGAUAUGAACCGUUAUAACCGGCGAUACCCGAAUGGGGAAACCCAGUGUGACUCGUCACACUAUCAUUAACUGAAUCCAUAGGUUAAUGAGGCGAACCGGGGGAACUGAAACAUCUAAGUACCCCGAGGAAAAGAAAUCAACCGAGAUUCCCCCAGUAGCGGCGAGCGAACGGGGAGGAGCCCAGAGCCUGAAUCAGCAUGUGUGUUAGUGGAAGCGUCUGGAAAGGCGCGCGAUACAGGGUGACAGCCCCGUACACAAAAGCGCAUGUGCUGUGAGCUCGAUGAGUAGGGCGGGACACGUGGUAUCCUGUCUGAAUAUGGGGGGACCAUCCUCCAAGGCUAAAUACUCCUGACUGACCGAUAGUGAACCAGUACCGUGAGGGAAAGGCGAAAAGAACCCCGGCGAGGGGAGUGAAAAAGAACCUGAAACCGUGUACGUACAAGCAGUGGGAGCACAGGUUUACCUGUGUGACUGCGUACCUUUUGUAUAAUGGGUCAGCGACUUAUAUUCUGUAGCAAGGUUAACCGAAUAGGGGAGCCGGAGGGAAACCGAGUCUUAAU
rnacentral:rRNA from 1 species